AGAGUUUGAUCAUGGCUCAGAAUGAACGUUGGCGGCGUGGAUUAGGCAUGCAAGUCGAGCGAGAAUUCCCCGCAAGGGGAAGGACAGCGGCGAAAGGGAGAGCAACACGUAGUUACCUACCCUCAGGACUGGGAUAGCUCCGGGAAACCGGAGGUAAUACCAGAUGACGUCUUUGGACCAAAGGUGUGAUUCCGCCUAAGGAGGGGACUGCGUCCUAUUAGCUAGUUGGUGAGGUAACGGCUCACCAAGGCAUUGAUGGGUACGGGGUGUGAGAGCAUGCCCCCGCUCACUGGGACUGAGACACUGCCCAGACACCUACGGGUGGCUGCAGUCGAGGAUCUUCGGCAAUGGGCGCAAGCCUGACCGAGCGACGCCGCGUGCGGGAUGAAGGCCUUCGGGUUGUAAACCGCCGUCGGAGUGGAGGAAAUUCCAGGGGGUACUCCCCCUGGAUUGACUAAUACUCAGAGGAAGGACGGGCUAAGUUCGUGCCAGCAGCCGCGGUAAGACGAACCGUCCAAACGUUAUUCGGAAUCACUGGGCUUAAAGGGUGCGUAGGCGGCCCGGAAAGUUGGGUGUGAAAGCCCUCGGCUCAACCGAGGAAUUGCGCCCAAAACUACCGGGCUUGAGGAAGACG
rnacentral:rRNA from 1 species